AUCAUCUUUCUCCCUAGCCGAAUAUCAAAAGAAAAAGAUGAUUUUGGGAGCUUUGAGCAUUCGGUUCAUGUAUGUUUCAAUUAUUGAGAAAAAUGAUAUUCGGAUCUAGAACGGGGGAAAAUAAAGUAUCGGAUUAGUCGACCUAAUUCGUCGUUACAGUGAAUGAGAGUUUUAGAGGCUUGCUCGGGUUGGAAGUCGUCGAAGAUCUCAUCAUACUAUUUAGCUAUCAUUUCGGUACUUUAAAAGCUUUGUGAAGUUGAUUAUAUGGCAUGUAUAAGCUAAGUGAUGAUAUGGAGUGUAUAUGUAAAUUUUGCAAUUGAUGCCUAUGUGUUUGAUUGGUAAUUAGCCAUGUGAUUUGGCUUAAAUGUGGUGUAUUUGGUAGUAUAUAAUUAUAUGAAUAUAUGAGUUGUGAUGUUUGGUCUAUAA